CUACUAUUCUAGAGAGAUAAAUAGGAAACUUGGUUAUUAAUAGAUAUAGUCUUUAAAACUAAAGGAUUUGGCGGUGAUUUAGUCUUGUCAGAGGAACCUGUUUUUGAAUCGAUACACCACGUUGAAUCUUGCUUGUCUUUGUUUUCAGUUUAUAUACCGUCAUUAGCAGAUAAUUUUAAAAGGAUCAAUUAUUGGGGUUUAAAAAGGGUUAGUGAGUAAAAUUAGAUCAAGGUGUAGCUUAUGGGCAAGUUAAAAUGGGUUACAAUAAUAUAUAGUUAUAACGGAUCACUAAAGUAAGAUUAAAGUGUGAAGGAGGAUUUGAUUGUAAUGUGAGUUUAAUAAGCUAUA
rnacentral:rRNA from 1 species